GGGGAAUGUGUUUCUUUCUGACCAACAGCCUACAGAAAAGUCAUCUAGAUUUAGUUGACAUUUUGCUUUUCGAUGUGAAAAACUGGAAAAGACCACUGCACGUUCGUGGAGGAAAACACAACAUGAAAUCCGAAAUAAAUAAAUAAGCUAUAAAGUGUAUCAGAAACUAUGGUGAUAUCCCAAUCUAAUGUGGUUCUUAACCAUUUAACAUGGCUAUGGGGAAGUAUGAAGAAAAACACCGUCGCUAUGUAUUAUGUACAAUGUCUGUUUAGUAGUGUAAUGAAAUGUGUACGUGUGUAAGGCAAUGGUUGGUAUGGCUUAAACAGAGACGCCACUUUUACAACCGACUCGGCUCGUCUACAUAGGCGUUGAUGUAAUGAUUUAUAUAUUAUAUUUGCCCUUGCUGAAAGUUUUUGUUCAAUGUCACGUCAAAGUUAUUGAAGUGUAAUUGUUUGACAAAUGGAUGAGGGUCAGGUGGGGGGUUCAGUAUAGUAGUGGUGGUUGUGGUGAUAUUGAGGGUUUUAGGGGGUAAAGGGAUCCUAGUCAUGCUGUCUUGCCAGUGGUCUGCUUCGUUUUGACACAGCUCGCUACGUGUUAAGGUCUCUAGCCCCGAGGUGGAGUUUUAGGUGUCUGUAUCGUCCUUGGUUAAAGUCUUGCCAUGGGUUGUGUUUGUUUAUAUCUGAUUGCUGCUCCUUCUUCUGUGCACAUAGAUGGCCACAAAAUGCUUUGUGUGUAGGCUGGCAGGAUACCUCUUCAUGAACCUCUGUCAUGUUAUUUUUUAGAAGAUUUACUGAUGUAUUCGUCAUUGAUAAUGUAUAGCUACAUUUGUCACACAGAUGCAUAUACAGGUGACGUGUAUGUGUAUCACACCCAUGUACAACCACAAAGAUGGCUACAUCCCAACACUGGAUCAGAAUGUGCCAUUAUAUUUGUGUAUAUCACAUAUAUAAAUAUCAUAUUAAUGCUCUUGUCACUUCCACAUACAAUUACACAUGUGCAGGAUCAAAAUGUGCCAUGACUAAAUAAUGCCUGACAAUUUAUUUUUUCUAUGUUUUCAAGGAGAAGCAGUGACAUGUACAGAACAUUUUGGAAUGAUAUGAAAAUAAAAUCUUACUAUGGUACUGCGAUGGCAUUGCAGUUUUAAACUGAUCCACUUGAGUGAACUGCAAUGCAGUCCACUAGUAUCUGCCAAACGACUGGUCUAAGGCCAGUUUUGCAAUUCCCUCGCCUGAUGGGAUUUGGGAAGUGUAAGCUGAUCCUGGAUCUGGUCCUGGAUAGGUCAACAUCGACA
ensembl:lncRNA